CCCUUAGAUGUUCGGGGCCGCACGCGCGCUACACUGAAGGAAUCAGCACGUCUUUCUCCUUGUCCGAAAGGACUGGGUAACCCGCUGAACCUCCUUCGUGCUAGGGAUUGGGGCUUGUAAUUCUUCCCCAUGAACGAGGAAUUCCCAGUAAGCGCGAGUCAUAAGCUCGCGUUGAUUACGUCCCUGCCCUUUGUACACACCGCCCGUCGCUACUACCGAUUGGAUGGUUUAGUGGGAUCCUCGGAUUGGUCCCGGCGCGGCCUCUGGUCGUGCCGGAGUGCCGAAAAGAAUGUCGAACUUGAUCAUCUAGAGGAAGUAAAAGUCGUAACA
rnacentral:rRNA from 1 species